CUUAGGCCAAAAGAGGCAUUAAAACUGCACAACUAAAUGCUGAGGACUAGCUCUCCAUGUAAAGUGCAGACGGUGGUGUGUGAGGUUUUCGUUGAUGGGUUGUGUAGAAGUCGUGGGUUGUGGAGGCUUUGAGGGUUUUAAGAGAAGUCUUGUGGAUGAAUUUGGCGGUGAAAUGUGGUUCGAGGAGAAGGGUUUUUAGGAGUUAGUUGAGAGAAGCUAGAAUUAAGGAGGCUAAGGAAUUGAAUAAAGCUUUGAGGAGAGUUCACAGUGGUGAAAGGGAGGGCUUGAAUGAAUUCUUGGCCUUGUUGGAUCAGAUUCUUGCUGAUUGGACGGACUACUGCAGUGCAGAUGGUGGAGACUGGAGAAGAUAUGUAACAAUUGAAUUGGGUACAACAACUCCUUUUAGUUUCCAAUAUCUGCAAAACAACAAAAGCUGAUCAAGAAUUUUGGUGGAUAUGGUGCAGCUUGUGAAGGACUACUAGGAUCCAAAGCAUCAACUUUUCACAGCCUCCAUUUCUGAUAGGAGCAAGCAAGUAUCGAAUCAGCAAAACCAUAGUAACCCAUGUAAAUUUUAGGUACGUCUGGACUAUCGGAACUCAAGCGAGUGACACUAUUCAAUCACCGUCUGCUCCACACACAUACACAAAGAAAGAGUUUACCAAGCGGCUUCUGAUGCUGUUAUUGCAUGUUUAAAGAUUGUUGAAGAAAUCUGCUGGAAAAGUUUCUAAGAGCUGCAGAGUAUUGUCACUCUAAAUUCUAUAUGGGAUGCUUAAAGACUGGAGAAGGCAUCAAAGGAACAAGUUUUGACUUGGAGAAAGUAUGAAUCGAAUUCAUAAUGAGGGUCAUUACAAAAAGCAUCUCGGUUAACUUCACAAUGUUGAGAAUAUUGAUAUCGACCUUGUGUUACUGAAAUCAUGUUGAUUAUAAUUUUUAUUUUUUGUUGUUUUGAUAC